rnacentral:rRNA from 1 species
GACAGAGGGUGCAAACGUUGUUCGGAAUUACUGGGCGUAAAGCGCGUGUAGGUGGCAAGGCAAGUCGGGUGUGAAAGCCCUGGGCUCAACCCAGGAAGUGCACUCGAUACUGCCUCGCUAGAGUCCCGGAGAGGUUGGUGGAACUCUCGGUGUAGAGGUGAAAUUCGUAGAUAUCGAGAAGAACACCGGUGGCGAAGGCGGCCAACUGGACGGUGACUGACACUGAGACGCGAAAGCGUUGGGGAGCAAACAGGG